GCACAUCACUCACUUUCAAUACCAAUCUAAAUCGUUUGUCGAUCAGUAGACUCAUCCUCAAUUUCGUUACGAUCAUCUUUAUGAUUUAGCUCAUCAAGAUACUGUUGAUAAGCAUAAGAAGAAAAUCCCCAAAUAGCUAAAACAAUUGAAAUUGCCUUCACCCCACUCAUCUUAUCAUUAAAAAUAAUCACAGACAUAAUCGG
rnacentral:misc_RNA from 1 species